GUAAACCUGAGAAACCCAAAAGAUCGAACGGGGAGAUUCAUCGUGAACGAGGCUACUGGUUUCCAUGUGGUAUGCGAUGUUUGACGGGGGCGUCUAUCGCUCUCGUCGCACGCUACCCGUGCGUUAUGUCCGGUAUCGUUGACGUGCACUUCUCCCCUUGUAGGACGUCGCGACCCGUUGGGUGUUGGCCUACGGCACGUACGGUUAGACUUUCGAGUCGCGUUCGCGCGUACCCGAAAGACCAUCGUUGCCCGGUCUGCUGCCCGACGGUAUAAAUCCUCGAAUGCACGGUAUUGGGCCGCAUAAUAAGUGCGUUCCGGCUCGUCGGCAGCCUCGUCUCGCUCGGAUUUACGGAGUUAGAGCCGUUGUCGGGCGCUUGGCGCGGGCGUUAGUCGACGAUGUCCUCGAACAGGCUCUCGAAAGAUAAAAUUUUAAAUACCGGUCGGCGACGCUAUUGCUUUGGGUACUUUCAGGACCCGUCUUGNNNNNNNNNCCAAGGAGUCUAACAUGUGCGCGAGUCAUUGGGACUUUGUGAAGCCUAAAGGCGCAAUGAAAGUGAAGGUCGGCAUUAACGUCGAUCGAGGGAGGAUGGCUUCGCGUUAAGAUGCGAGCUCGCACUCCCGGGGCGUCUUGCGCUCGUUACGAGCGGAGGCGCACCCAGAGCGUACACGUUGGGACCCGAAAGAUGGUGAACUAUGCCUGGUCAGGACGAAGUCAGGGGAAACCCUGAUGGAGGUCCGUAGCGAUUCUGACGUGCAAAUCGAUCGUCGGAACUGGGUAUAGGGGCGAAAGACUAAUCGAACCAUCUAGUAGCUGGUUCCCUCCGAAGUUUCCCUCAGGAUAGCUGGCACUCGCUUGAGCGAGUCUCAUCUGGUAAAGCGAAUGAUUAGAGGCCUUGGGGCCGAAACGACCUCAACCUAUUCUCAAACUUUAAAUGGGUGAGAUCUCUGGCUUGCUUGAACGUUGAAGCCACGAGAUUAUUUACAAUAAUAACGGAUCAGAGUGCCAAGUGGGCCAAUUUUGGUAAGCAGAACUGGCGCUGUGGGA
rnacentral:rRNA from 1 species